UCUCUUCGGAGCAUCGGUGACAGGUGGUGCAUGGUUGUCGUCAGCUCGUGUCGUGAGAUGUUGGGUUAAGUCCCGCAACGAGCGCAACCCCUGUUCUUAGUAGCCAGCGGUUCGGCCGGGCACUCUAGGGAGACUGCCAGGGAUAACCUGGAGGAAGGCGGGGAUGACGUCAAAUCAUCAUGCCCCUUAUGACUUGGGCUACACACGUGCUACAAUGGCGUAAACAAAGGGAAGCGGAGCCGCGAGGCCGAGCAAAUCUCAAAAAUAACGUCUCAGUUCGGACUGUAGUCUGCAACCCGACUACACGAAGCUGGAAUCGCUAGUAAUCGCAGAUCAGAAUGCUGCGGUGAAUACGUUCCCGGGUCUUGUACACACCGA
rnacentral:rRNA from 1 species